AGGUUGCACAAUGUUUGCAAAAUUAUGAAAACAAAAUGAGAAAAGAAAUCCACAGUAAUAAAACAUGAUAAAAGCUAGAAAGAGGAACUAUAAUGUGCAGGUGAGAUAAAAAUAAGCACAGAUUUGUAAAAAAAAAUGUAGUCAUAAACAACUAUAUUGUAAAAAGCAAUACCAUAAUGAGCUGAAGCACUCACCCUGAGGUUUUUCUAUGCCCAACUGAUAAUGGCUGUGAAUUCUUCUCCAGGAUUAGGGAAAUGCACAAUGGAUGGAUUUCUAAUGAUCGUGGUCCUGACGAUCAUGGGAAUGAAGGGCAAAUGCUGCUGUUGAAUGAGAGAGCUGCCAUCCAACAUUUUGACAUGACAGGUGAAGCCGUAGCUUUGGUGAACAGGCACGGUUUUGGCCCAGACAAGGUCAGCAGGUGCUUUGCACCAGACACUGACGUGGAGUCAACGCCCAACAUGAUGAAUUAUACACAAAUAUAAUAAUAACAAUAAUAAUAAUAAUAAUAAUAAUAACAAUAAUAAUACUAGUAAUAAUAAUAAUUUUAGUCUAUGUUAUAUAUAAGAUAUACAGUAUUUUCACAGUCAGGCUAUGUGGUACAUUUACUGGCAGCUCCUUUAAGAUCAAGUUUAAAUAAUCAUUUUCAUCACAUGAUGCUUUGCUCUCUCUCUCACACACAAUGUUAGAAGAUAUAUUCUCUACAAGCCCUAUGUGCUGUUAUCACAAACAUUUUAAAUCAUUUUGAUGACAUGUGUUUAUUUUCACAGAAAAAUUAGACAAUCUAGGUGGAAACCGGAUGUUGUCUAUGUGUCACUUUAAGUCUAUUCAUUGAUAUAUGCUCAGUCAAUCAGAUAACAUAUUAAUUUGGGUAAUUGUGUUUAGAUAAA